rnacentral:rRNA from 1 species
CGGGCGGGGCGGGGGCACGGGGGGCCUACGGGAGGCAGCAGUAGGGAAUCUUCCACAAUGGGCGAAAGCCUGAUGGAGCAACGCCGCGUGAGUGAAGAAGGAUUUCGGUUCGUAAAAACUCUGUUGUAAGGGAAGAACAAGUACAGUAGUAACUGGCUGUACCUGACGGUACCUUAUGAAAGCAC